GGCUGGUCCCAGUGCAGUUGCAGUUUACAACCAACCAAUCACACCAGUUACAGAUUACUUUGUUCCUUCUCCACCCCCACUGCUUCACUUGACUAGCCUUAA
ensembl:misc_RNA Y_RNA Y RNA